UGCCGCCGGCAGGUGCCUGGAUGGUUACUAUGGCGACCCAGUGCUGGGCUCAGGGCAGCAGUGCCGGCCCUGCCCGUGCCCCGGGUAUCCGGGAACGCGGAGAUAUCACGGCACCGCCUGCCACGCUGACAAGCAGACCCGCCACAUCGUGUGCCUGUGCACGCCGGGCUACGCGGGGCUGCGCUGCGACCGCUGUGCGCCGGGGUACUUUGGGGCGCUGGAGCAGGAGGGGGGCGCCUGCCGGCCCUGCCAGUGCAACAACAACAUCGGCCCCAGCGACCCCGAGGCCUGCGACCCGCGCACCGGGCACUGCCAGCGCUGCCUGCACCACACCGACGGGCCCCGCUGCGCCCAGUGCCAGCCUGGCUACUACGGCAACGCCCUGCAGCGUGGCUGCCGACGCUGCACCUGUAACCAGCAGGGAACGCUGCCCUCCCACUGCGCCUCCGGCACCUGCCACUGCGACCGGGCCACGGGCCACUGCCCUG